rnacentral:lncRNA from 1 species
CUGCAGAGUGUUGACUGGGCACGGCUUCCUGAUCUCCGGCGGCGCACGCGGCAGGCGGAUGAUCAUCAGAUGAUGCCCCUGCCAUCCGGCGUCCGCCGUUGAGGUCCAUGGAAAUGAUCCUUCUCACAUGCCACGGUUUCCUGAUCCUCCGACGUCGCAUGAAGGCGCUAAUGCCGCAUGGGCAGGCAGACGCGGCGGCCGAGGUCCACGGAGAUCUUGCAGCCCCCGUUUCAGACGAUUAGAAGAGGCUGGUGGGGCGAGGCUGACGCCGAUUUCAAACAACGCUUCAAAACCACAAGGUACCUAAUUCCGAUCAGCCCCUUCAGCAGUCAAGUUUGCCGCUGCACAACCAUGCCCCUAGGUUUCAGAAUAAAAUUCCUUCCCUUUUUUUUUUCCUAAAUCAAAACCGUUCCUAGAUAUUUAGGCUCCAAUGUCUUCUACUUCAUGACCGCAUGCAGGCAAACGCAUGGAGCUGGCAGCACCGUUGAUAAAUUUGCUCAGAUUUUUAUUUUUCAAAAUUCUAACGUGUCCGGUAUUGAACCAGGAAAAUACAGCAAAUAAAUUGCUCUCCUCCGCAACCCGUACAGGGGUUCGAGUGCUUUCUGCUACUAGUCCAUCGUACAAACAUAAAC